UAGUCAUAUGCUUGUCUCAAAGACUAAGCCAUGCAUGUCUAAGUAUAAACACCUUUAUACAGCGAAACUGCGAACGGCUCAUUAUAUCAGUUAUAAUCUACUUGAUCGUAUCCUCUUACUUGGAUAACCGUAGUAAUUCUAGAGCUAAUACAUGCAAAAGACCCCGACUGGUGACGGAAGGGGUGUAUUUAUUAGGUCCAAAAUCAAUACUGCUUCACGGCAGGCUCAUUGAUGAUUCAUAAUAACUAAACGAAGCGCAGGGCUUGUCUCGGCGCUG
rnacentral:rRNA from 1 species